rnacentral:lncRNA from 1 species
CCGUGGCAGGGGCUGUUUUCGUUGCACAGCUCAUGGGCUCUAGGCACUUGGGCUUCAGUAGUUGUGGUGCUUGGGCUUAGUUGCCCCACAGCUUGUGGAAUCUUCCUGGACUAGGGAUCGAACCCACAUCCCCUGCAUUGGCAGGCGGAUUCUUAACCACUGGACCACCAGGGAGGUCCUUCAGAUCGUCUUGUGCGUGGAAGCAGCCUCCUUCCUUACAGCCUACCUGGUCAUUAACACAGAAUAAAUGGAAUCGUUCUGGCCGCUGCUCCUGAGGUCAGAAAAGGACUGAGAAAGAAGCCGUCUCCAAUCAGACACUCAGGCUGGUCCCCGGGUGGGGAGGGGUGUGGGCAGGGUGUGCCUUCAGCUGGUGGGAGGGGCCAGGAGCGAUGCAGAUGUGGAGAGGAAGGAAGCCCGCGCCGCCAGCCUCCCUCGUCUCCUCCCAGGAUGGACCCCACAGCUUACGCUGAGCUGCUGAAAGAAUCUGGCAACCAGGGUUUUAAGAGUGGGAACUUCUCUUUGGCCAUCAGAAAGUACGAUGAAGCCAUCCAGAUCCUCCUGCAGUUAUACCAGUGUGGUGUCAGUCUCGGCGCAGCUAGAGGAAUUCAGGAAACAGAAAGUGAAAGACGGGACUGUUGAUACGCCUUGCGAAACUUCCCCUUUUGUCUGGUUCCAGCAGAGUUCCUGGAAUGACCGACUCUGUCUCCAAGCCUCUGCACUUGUCGUUCAUUUCAUCUUGUUUAUCUGUGCUAUCACCUCCCUGGCCUGGCCACAGGGCAAGCGACCAGGAACUAAGGCUCACCUCGUCCCCUGCCCCUUCAGCUUCUAGCAGACCUGUUCCCAAACAUUUCAGGAUCACGGCCCAAUUACAAAUUGUGGAGGACCCCAGAAAGCUUUUGCUGGUGUAGUUAUCGAUAAAGCCUGUAUUAGAACUCAAAACUGAGAAACAUUUAAAAUAUGUAUUUAUUCGUUAUUUUAAAAUAUCAGUAAUAAAC